GAUAACCGCCUUUCUGAAGCCCCGCCUAAAAUCCAUAAUUUGACCGUUAUUCUUAUGAUAGUGACUGACUGUCUGUUACCAUCGCGACCAGAUUAUCUUUUGCUCUUCUAAUGUAAGUCUGUUUAAAGAGCAAAAAUAAUAUGAGAAAUCAAAUAUACAGUAGCCUACAUAUGUAGGGUUUAUGGGGCAAUUUGAAUUGGGGGGAAAAAAGGCUCCUAAAGAUUGGCUUCGUUUACUUACAUGAUAUUCUUGACCGAUUUCGUCAGAAGCAUCCAAUCAUCUGCUUCUCCACAACAGGACAACUACCAAGACAUGAAAAGUCACUCUGAUGAUUCUGGAGCAGUUUGUUCUUUAACGUGUUGGUUCUGGUGGGUCUGAAAACUA